GCCCACAUGGCUUAGUGGUUUGAGUGUUGAACUACAACUCUGGAGACCAGGGUUCAAUUCUCAGUUUGGUCA